CCUACGGGUGGCAGCAGUGAGGAAUAUUGGUCAAUGGACGCAAGUCUGAACCAGCCAUGCCGCGUGCAGGAAGACGGCUCUAUGAGUUGUAAACUGCUUUUGUACGAGGGUAAACGCAGAUACGCGUAUCUGUCUGAAAGUAUCGUACGAAUAAGGAUCGGCUAACUCCGUGCCAGCAGCCGCGGUAAUACGGAGGAUCCAAGCGUUAUCCGGAUUUAUUGGGUUUAAAGGGUGCGUAGGUGGUCGGUUAAGUUAGAGGUGAAAGCUUGAGGCUCAACUGCGGAAUUGCAUUUGAUACUGGUCGGUUAGAGGGUAGUUGCGGUAGGCGGAAUGUAUGGUGUAGCGGUGAAAUGCUUAGAGAUCAUACAGAACACCGAUUGCGAAGGCAGCUUACCAAGCUGCUACUGACGUUGAGGCACGAAAGCGUGGGGAGCAAACAGGAUUAGAUACCCCAGUAGUC
rnacentral:rRNA from 1 species